rnacentral:rRNA from 1 species
UACGGGGGGGGGUAAGCGUUGUUCGGAAUUACUGGGCGUAAAGGGCUCGUAGGCGGCCAACUAAGUCAUACGUGAAAUCCCUCAGCUUAACUGGGGAACUGCGUGUGAUACUGGAUGGCUUGGAUUUGGGAGAGGGAUGCGGAAUUCCAGGUGUAGCGGUGAAAUGCGCAGAUAUCAGGAGGAACACCGGUGGCGAAGGCGGGUCUCUGGGCAGUAACUGACGCUGAGGAGCGAAAGCGUGGGGAGUGAACAGG